AUAUGUUGGUUCCUGUUUUUUCUGUGUUUGUGUGCACGUGUGUGUGUGUGUGUGUGUGUGUGUGUGUGUGUGUGUGUGUGUGUGUGUGUGUGUGUGUGUGUGUGUGUGUGUGUGUGUGUGUGUGUGUGUGUGUGUGUGUGUCUUUGUAAAGGUGACGAGGUUGCAGGACCAAGUUGUUAUGGAGACAAGGACAAGAAGGAGAACAAGCCCAAACGGGAUCGCCCGGUGGCACGUGACCUCUAUGCUGAGGGCGUCCAGGCACAGUCAAGGGAUCAGGAUCCUGGCAACGUGAGUGAUGACGAGGGAGAAGGGGAGGCAGCCAAGGACGAGGACAAGAAGACAAAGGUGUUGAAGAAGAAGAAGGAGAGCAAGGAUUCUGGCGCAUGUUCAUCAGACAACGAUGAUGCCGGGAAAGACAAGAAGAAAGAUAAGAAGAAAAAGAAGGACGAUGGCUCAGACUCAGACAGUGAUGAUGACAAAAAGAAGAAGAAGAAGAAGAAGAAGUCCAGCUCUUCUGACGACAGCUCCUCUUCCUCAUCUUCCUCCUGCUCCUCCUCCUCUUCUUCCUCCUCUGAUAGUGAGGAUGAUGAGGUGAGGACACCAAACACACAGGACACUCUUUCCAUAUCAAAUGUCAGUUAUGAACAGGAAGUCAGUGUAAUUCUCUGAGACUUUCAUCUUCUGUGUCUUCCAAAAAAAACUAAAGGACAAGAAGAAGAAAGAGAAGAAAAAGAAGAAAGAUAAGAAGAAUAAAGACAAGAAGAAAGAUAAGAAGAAAGACAAGAAAAAGAAGAAGAAGAAGGUGAGAACAUAACUCUGAUCCUUAGGUCUCCAGCCGUGUCAGUCGGUGCUGUAGAGUCUGUCGGCCUGUAGAGAGGACUCGUGGUGUAACUGUUGUGUCUCUCAGGACGACAGCUCAGACUCAGACAGUGAUGAAGACAAGAAGAAGAAGAAGAAGAAGAAGAAGAAGAAGAAGAAGAAGAAGAAGAAGGUGAAGGUGUGUUUCAGACUUAAGUGUCAAUGUUACUUUUACCUUUUAUACACAAUAAUCCACUUGUGCACAAUAUGCAGCACGCACAGAUAAUCUACAUAUCCUUAGUCAUCUUCAUGCAAUUCAAUUCAAUUCAUAAAAUUAUAUUCACCCCUUACUAACUGGAUUCAAUCUAUUAAUGAAUAAGUCAGAGCCCAGGCUUGCCGUAAGUGGUGCUAGUUAAUAAAGAGAUGGCAGUCGUGGAGUACUGAAGACUUUUUGGUAUUUUACAUUAAGUAAGGAAAGGACACAAUGUCAUUUAAAUAAUGAGCAAAUAUAUGAAAAAAAUAUGAUAUGACUAAACUUUGUGCAAAGUAGCAGUUUGAAGAAAUCAAGAGAUUAAACAUUUUCAAUUGGAUAUCAAAUUGUAAGCAGUGACAGUUAAAUGAGGAGGCAUUUUUGUGUUGCAAACAUGCUAACUAUUACCAGUUAUUAAAUGUCUAUUAGUUACUGGAAAACUACGACUGACUGCUG
rnacentral:lncRNA from 1 species